UUUUUGCUGAUGAGCAAUUUGGUUUUCGCCAUGGGCCUUCAACCACUCAUCAGUUAUUAAGAGUUACGAAUUUAAUUAGGCUCAACAAAUCUGAAGGUAUUCGACUGGAGUUGUUCUUCUUGAUAUAGAGAAAAUGUGUUUGUGUGCUUUCAGUGUUUGGCAUGAAGGUUUGAUUAUAAAAUUGAUGAAUUUAAAUUUUCCUCUGUACAUUACUAAACUGAUCCAAAAUUAUUUAUCAGAUCGCUCACUGCAGGUAAACUAUCAGAAUUCUAAAUCUGAUAGAUUACCUGUAAGAGCUGGUGUUCCCCAAGGCAGCAUACUUGGGCCCCUAUUGUAUAACAUUUUUACUUCUAACUUACCUGAUUUACCACCAGGGUGUCAAAAAUCUUUGUUUGCAGAUGACACAGGUCUCUCAGCAAAAGGGUGAAGCCUUCGUGUCAUUUGUAGUAGAUUGCAAAAAAGUUUGGAUAUUUUCUCCACUUACUUGUGAAAAUGAAAAAUUUCCCCGAAUGCUUCCAAAACUCGGCUUAUAAUUUUCCCACAUAAGCCGAGAGCUUCUUAUUUGAAACCUUCUAGCAAACAUAGUGUCACUAUGAAUGGGGUUCCAAUUAAUUGGUCUAGCGAAGCUAAAUAUUUAUUUAGGACUUCUGCUAGAUCAAAAAUUAACUUUUAAAAGUCACAUUGAAGGCAAUCAAGCCAAAUGUAACAAAUAUAUAAGUGUCUAUAUCCACUUAUAAACAGAAAAUCAAAACUUUGUCUUAAAAACAAACUUUUGAUUUACAAACAAAUUUUUAGACCAGCCAUGUUGUAUGCUGUGCCAUCAGAAAUACCAGAAAGAAGGCACUUGAGAGGAUGCAACAGAACUGGUAGAUUCAUGUUCAGAUCUCGAUCAUCGGAGCAUCAUGGGCGAGCUAAUUCGCCUGCGAUUCUGCAGAAUGGCAUUGUUUUACUCAUUCGCCGAAAAAUAAUCUCGCGCCAAAACCCAAUCGAAGCGUAUUCUAUGUAUAUGCAUGGAUUCAUUAUCCAUUGUUUUAAGCUAACAAAGCUAAAUUGAUUAAUUGAAAGAAGAAUAAUCUGAAGAGAUCAUUUAUGACCUCAUCUAAAACUGUUCAUCCUAUUUUAGUUUGUUCACCCCCCAAUAAUUUCUCCGUAUCGUACUUUAAUAAAACUUUUUUACUUUCUCCAACAGCGAGCAACAACGAGCGCAACGUGUUUUCAAAGCACAGCAACCACUCGAUCUGCCCGGCGCUCGUAACAAACUGAUGGGAUUCGGAAUGCAGCUGCUGGAUAGUGUCGAUCCCAAUCCGGACAACAUGGUGUGUGCGGGAAUCAUCCAUACCCAGGCGCACAAGGUGGGCUGCCUCUUGCGCCUCGAGCCGAACAAACAAGCACAGAUGUUCCGUUUGACGAUUCGCUCCAGUUUAGAGAACGUCACACAGGAAAUAUGCAAUCUACUGGUAGACCAAUUUUAAGCAAACGAGAGAAACGCUCCACCGUUUCCGAUUCCUUUCGUUGUAAAUUAUGCUGGUACGUAGUGAUGUUGAUUAAUAUUAGUAGGAAACUAUAGUGUUUUCGUUCUUCGCCAUACGGGAGAAGUCAUGCAAGAGCAUACACAACACAAACCGCAGCAGCAACAAUAAUGAGAAAAAUAAGAAUAAUAAUAUAUUAUUGGCAUAGUCUGGAGUAAUGUUUCGCAGGUCCCUAUAGUGUUGUAAAACAUUCGUAUCGUGGGACGAGUAUGUGUGCAAACGAGACGUAGAAGGUCGUUGAUAAGCAACUUACGAAGAUUAUGUAUGUUCCGAAAACUUGUUGUAAUAUUGCAAUCUGUUUGCAAAACACAGCCAACGAUAGACGGAGCGCAAGAAAAGCGGAUGAAUCGUUCGUAUUGUUUGACGCUGAUUUGUCGUGAGGGGCGAUAACGAUUUAUCGUGGUUUCCUUACUCUCGCUCUAUCGUUUGUCUGCCACAAAGUAUCAAAGAAUUAGGCUGAAAGUGUAAUUUGAAAAUGAGAAAUAAUUGAAAUCCUAUAUUAUUACGAUUAUAAAUCUGAUCAUUUUUGUUGGAAUUUGAUUACAAAGAAUGUAUUCUGGGCUACCGAGGACGAGCUGAUUUAGUUUUAUCUGUAUUGAAAUUGCAAUCUAAAAAUCUCAUUUAAUGCACAGACAUACUACGAACGGUAGAAACUAAGGAAUAUGUAGGGGACAAAUAGACUAAAAAUAGUAAAAAAAUAGAAAUUGUGGAACGCAAGAAACCAAGAUAUUUGCGAAAACGAUGAAACACACGUAGAUAGAUUUCAUCGUGAAUCAAGGCUGAAAUUCACAGUAAAAAAAAUGGAACUCAAAGAUCAUCACACAUCUGCACGUUAUACAUGUAUUGCUAUUGUUCGCGCGUUUCAUUUCGUUCUGUAUUGGGAAAUCCAGAAGAAGUAUUGCACAAAGGCAUAUGGUGCAGCAGACAAAUACGUGUUAUGAAUUAAGAAAAACGAUGAGUCACGGUGUCAAAGUCACGAAUAUUACAUCCGGAACUUUUUUUAAAAUAUUUUUUGUACUCCCAGAGGACCAGAUCUCACAAACCUUGUUACUGGGAUCAUCUGAGAUAAUAUCCAUCUACGAGUCAUUUAUAAGCGCAAUAAUUGAACAUUUGGGAAAGGUACCUACUGCUCAAAGAAACAGAGUAAUUAUGUACUGCUUCGGUUGGUUUUGUUCUACUAUUGGAGAAGAAAACAAUAUUUGCUCAAUCCUCAAUCCUAACGCCUCUUUCUAACACGAGAAGUCCUUCCAAGUUUUAGUGUUUCGAAUAAUACCAUCAGGCCAAACGUGGUACAAUCAAUUAAUAUACCAACUGGUUUUGGUAGAUUUUUCGUUUAUUAUUGAAGCGAACAAUAAAAUUGAGUGUCUUUGCUUGUGUUGAAAACAUAAAUUUAAAUGGUCAUUUCUUAUUUGUCGACUGGCAUUUAUAGCACCAAAUACCUACUAUUGAAAUACCUGGACUUGCGAAAAUUUUCGAAAAAUUAGCAAUUGUAUAUUCUUUUUAGCCUAAUGAAUAAGCUACUAUUGAAAUUAUAUGCAAGCUAGGAAUACUCAUGACUUUGGCACCGUGCUUCUAGUUUGCAGUCGAAACUCCAAAACAGCGUUAGUUCGUUAUUAUCAGUGCUUAGUUGAAAUCCACUUUUCCUAGCCAGUUUGUCAACGAAUUCGUACCAAUGCCGUCGUACUACACGUAAUUAUAGAAGCAUAAGCUUAUGUUUUUCAAUGUUAUAAUCCUUCCCUCUAUUAUUGUAUAGUUCAUGAAUACACCAUUACUAAUAUAUUACGUUGAACUAUUUGUAUAUCAUGCAAUCCUGAUAAAGCCAAGAAAAACACAAAAUAUAAUGAAAUUAACAACCGACAAAUUCGUAGAGAAAUGUAUGUACAAUAUUUGCUGAAAUCUUUCUUUCGAAUGAUCUAAAUAGACCCAACCAUUCAUUCACUGUCUUUCCGACGAUUGCAAGAAAAGGUGAAAAUUUAUGGCAAAUAUAUAGCGCAAGGUAACAGAUUCGUUUCCCAACCCCCUCGAUAUGUAAUAGAUCAACAAGCAGAAUUUAAUAUACAUUCAAUAUUCUCUAUUGAUUAUUAAUAUAAAUCUACUGAUCCCUACAAAAACUAUAGAAUAGAGAAUAACUCAAAAUUGCAGAAGGGGCGAUCAAUACCCAGACAGUUGUUUGUGGGUCAAAAAAAUGGAAUAAUACACAAACAGAACAUCUUAGCAGCGGAUGUAAGAAUAAAUACCCUAAACUUAUAUUGAAAUAAUAUUGAGAUAAAUCAGAUGAGGAAAAUAUACAAAAGUUAUUGAAAAUUAAA